UAGGGCUUGCCCCUUGGAUGAAUCAGUCACGCACGUAUGGAAUUUAGUCUGCAGGGAGAAGCAGUGCACGAGCCAAGCACGAGCGCACCAAAAUGGAAAGAAAGAAAGAACGCAUUUCUCACAGCAGGAGCGUGGACCCAAGGACGCGUCAGUCAGGAAACAGGCACGUAUUUGGAUUCCGGGGCCCGACAAGUUCCUGACCAUCACUGGCUUGUGGCUGAGCCGCGCCUGUGGCGGUCCUUGCCCGAUGCUCGACACCCAUAAAAAACAGUCAGCGAGAAGCCACGGCGGAGAAGACUACUUGCAAAGACGAUGUAUUUAUUAUUAUACCACUGCGUAGGUUGAAGGGUUGGGGACACUUGGAAGGAGAUUUAGGUGUAUACCGCAUUUGUAGCUCUUUGCCAUCCCGUGGCAUGAAAACAGGUAGUGCGGGAAUGGUGCUAGGUCUGCGUCGUGGUAGACUGAGAUGAAUUGCGAACAUGUACGAAAU
rnacentral:sRNA from 1 species